AUAGCUUAAAAUUUUUUCUUUCCCAGUAUACCCAUAAAAAAAAAUUACAAGCUUAUAUUUGGCAAAAACUUGGGACGUUAUUCUUUCACCAUUUUCUUCCAAACUCACUUUUCAUCUUUCUAUCAAAUUGAAAGGGAGGAAAGCUCAAAAAAAGUCAAAGUCGUCUCUAGAAUCAGAGUAGCCGUAUUCAUCUACCCGCAAGUGGUACUUCAGCCGAGAAGGAAUUGAGAACCUUUCUCCAUGUAGAAAUGACGGGAUUGACCUUGGAAGAGAGGAGUUGUAACACCCUUACCCAACCUGAUCACCGAAUUCAGGUACGGGGUGUCACAACUAGAUCAGGACACCAUACCGACAUCUAAUCCUUGGAGUAACUCAUUCUAGCUUAGUCCCUCCUUAAGUUCCUUAGCACACAAGUCCUACAACCACAGGUCAAACCCUUGUAAGCUCGGAUUGAACUUAAUCAAGAAACGAAGAAAACGAAUUUGGAUCGGGAAAAAACGAAAGUAAUCGAAUAGUCGAUCGUGUCUGCUGAUAUCCGAGAUUUUGGAGACGCGUUACGAGCUCGGGGAUCAUCAGUAUAGUCCAUCACACUAUCGACUUCUUUUGGGUAUUUUGUUAAAAAUUUGAACUUAAUCUUAUGGCAUGUAUAGGUUUGAGUACGAUGUUAACUACAUUUUGAUUGUAAAUUAUAAUAGCUAUGCGAAAGUAAUUAAAUUUUCAUGUUGUGAUCAGAUUGGUUUUAAA